GUCCUAUUUCUUCCACUGCCUCAUCUGCAGAUCUUGUUUUGUGUCAACAUUGUAUAGGUGAGGAAUUGGAGAGACUCACCCCUUCUUGGUGGUAAGAUUUCCUGUCCUGCCCCUGACUUAAUAGCCCCACCAGUUGGAGCUUGAGGGUUUAACAUGUGCCAAGUUCCUGCGGUGGGAGGCAGUUAGUUUAGAGGGCAAGCUGUUUGUGCUAUUUAAUAAGAUUGGAGAGGCUGGUGGGAGCGACUCUUCAGCAGCUGAAAGCCAAAGAAAAGAAUUGGUAUAUCCCAAGAGCAAUGAGAAAUCAAAUAAACAACUUCAGGUUCUCACAACCGUCACUCCUGUCCGACGCCUCGUUCCUGUACAACAUGGAGCCCAUGGGCCUUGAGGGUCCCUGAGCGCUCUGCCAGUGGCCUCUGCUGGGUUCCCUAGCGCUGCUGCUACAGCCGGUAACCUGUGCCCAAGCCACACCGGGCACCCUCAGCACCACGACCAC
rnacentral:lncRNA from 1 species